ACUCUCUGGCCCUUCACAGAAAGGUUACCAACUCCUGCCCUAGAUAACAAAGAUAACUACCACUUGGUUGAGGAUACUGCUCACCAAGUACCCCUACAGUGACCCACACCAGUCAAGCAAGGAAACAAGGUACCUGAAACUGCCGAAACAAAACAGCACAUAAGGAGAGACUACUGUAUUUUGCUUUAUGCAAGAUUUCAGGCUUUUAGCUGCUAAGAGAGAGGCCACUGCCAGUAACAGCCGGGGCGCCGAGCUGUCAAGGCUGACGGAGGAAUGGACGCUCAUCGCGCAGCGGAGUGUUGGAGGGGCAAGCCCGCCAAGAGACCCACUUUGCACAACUGUCCUCAGCCAGGAAACGACAGAUCAGGAACCCAGGGACAGAAACACACGCGGGGCCUCUUCAGAGGUCGGCGGGGGGGGUGGGAAAGGGGCGGG